rnacentral:rRNA from 1 species
GACGAACGCUGGCGGCGUGCUUAACACAUGCAAGUGGAGCGACGAACCAGGCUUCGGCCUGGGGCAAAGCCGCGAACGGGUGAGUAACACGUGGGUAACCUGCCCCGAUGACUGGGACGAACCCGGGGAAACGUCGGGCGUAAUACCGGAUGUGCUCCCAUCACACAAGUGAUGUGAGUAAAGGUAGCUUCGGCCUCCGCAUCGGGAUGGGCCCGGCGGCCCAUUAGCUUGUUGGUGGGGUAACGGCCUACCAAGGCGACGAUGGGUAGCUGGUCUGAGAGGACGAUCAGCCACACUGGGACUGAGACACGGCCCAGACUCCUACGGGAGGCGGCAGUGGGGAAUCUUGCGCAAUGCGCGAAAGCGUGACGCAGCAACGCCGCGUGGGGGAAGAAGGCCUCGG